rnacentral:rRNA from 1 species
CCUGAUUCCAUUCCGAACUCAGUAGUUAAGUCUUUCAUCGCUGAUGGUACUUGGGGCCUUGCCCCUGGGAGAGUAAGUCGCCGCCAAGA